AAGCCUGGGACCGGUCCUGUGUGCUUUGCAAGUCAGAACUGGAAGAGACUUUCCCUCUCAGAGCCUCACUACAUUCUUCUGAGCUAACAAUGCAACUUUGCUUGACUGCCAACUCUAACUAGUAUUGGAGCCAUUCUGUGUGAAGUCUGCCAGGUUCAGGCAGGCGUGUGCAAUCUCUUGGAAACCUGCAUUUAAAACAGGACUCUUUUGCGCUAGUGCUUUUGUUCUUUCCCAGUGAAAACAAUCCACACCCCAGGAGUCAUCAUCUGUGCUGAUUUGUUUACCCCUCCCAGAUACUGCUUCAAAACAACAAGUUCCUUAUGAGUUGUUAAUCUAAAACAAUGCAUGCAUGGGGAGGCAUGAGGGGAGUAACUGACUGCACAUAUAUCUAUUCAAAACUGUCCAGAUUCAGUAGGUAUUCCAGUUAUCAGUCUGAAACUCUGAUAAUCAGAUCACAGAACAGACCUAAUGAGCAGACAGUUCCAAAUCACCUGCGCUGCAGAUGUCCUCUAUGAGCUAUUAGACCAGCACAGAAGAGCCAGAGCUCAGUGCACUACAGCCUUGACUCCUGCUGGUUGCUCCCCUGCUUCAGCCUGACCAAAACCACUCCCUUUACCAGGGGCUGGGAGAAGGCCUAUAUUGGUAGAUAUGUAGCAGCAGUGAACACCCUCUAUACCAGAGACUGAAGGCUUAAGAAGCAGCAUGAGCUGACACUUCUCCAGUUCCUCUUCUUACCGCGGAUCCAGUAAGAUGCAAACUGAGGGGAAGAAGGGCAGGUAGUAGAUUGCAGGUAGGGACCACACAUCUCGAAGGACUUCCAGUUAUAGACAUCCAGCACUGCUAGAAGAUGGAACAGGAACAAAGUCAGUGACCUGACUUCUUGGCUGGAGCGACCUACUAGGAGCCAGUCACCGAAAGACAGGGAAACUGUAUAACCUUGACAUCUCAUUUGGGCUACUACCACACAGGAAAAGUUUGUGAAUACUCUGAGAGCUGCUGCUACUCCACAGGACGGGACUCUGAACUGGAAGUGUUCUUGAUCCACCAGAAAUAGAAAGAACUUUCUGUGGGACAGAAGAAUAUCAACAUGAAAAUAGGCAUCCUUCAUGUCAAGAACCACGAACCACAUCCCUCCUGUGGGAAGGGGAUUGUCUGUGCUAAUGUGACCAUCCUGAAUUUUGACUUUCGAAUAAAGUUGUCAAAAGUCCAAAA